AAAAUUUAUAUGUCCAUUUUUAAGUUAGAUAUAUAGCAAGGAACCCAAGGCUCCCAUCUCAUGAGCUAAUCUGAACUGGUCCAGCUCCAAGGAAAACAUGCCAGGAACUAAACUCAAAGCAGCUGCACCUAAACACUCACACAGGAAGAAGAACAACCAGGCCUGAAGCACUCGGCUGGACAUCACCUGGGACUUUGCUGGCCAAAGAAAAGAGCCUGAAAUUGGGUACAGUGCCACAGAAGUAGAGAUGUGCCACUGGUACAACUGAGACAGGAUCUGGAGGGCAGGCAAGGUGCCCUGAGGAAGAGAGCAAGCAGAAGGACUACUGCUCACAGGACAUCGCAAGAAAAUGCAUUGGAUUUUGCUUCAUUUCUGAACCAGCCCCUCAGCAUUCAAGGAUGCCUGUUGUCUUCAGUCCAGCUGUGCUACUUGAGUCCCAGUGGGCAGUACCUAUCUUGCAGCUUUGGGAAUCCAGAGGGAAAAAAAAAUACAGGGAUUUGUCUCGCAAAAAUAAAGAAAAGGGAGGGGAAAAAGGCAA